rnacentral:rRNA from 1 species
CAGCAGCCGCGGUAAUACAGAGGGUGCGAGCGUUAAUCGGAUUUACUGGGCGUAAAGCGUGCGUAGGCGGCUUCUUAAGUCGGAUGUGAAAUCCCUGAGCUUAACUUAGGAAUUGCAUUCGAUACUGGGAAGCUAGAGUAUGGGAGAGGAUGGUAGAAUUCCAGGUGUAGCGGUGAAAUGCGUAGAGAUCUGGAGGAAUACCAAUGGCGAAGGCAGCCAUCUGGCCUAAUACUGACGCUGAGGUACGAAAGCAUGGGGAGCAAACAGGAUUAGAUACCCGUGUAGUCCCUGUCUCUUAUAC